AUUGAACGCUGGCGGCAGGCCUAACACAUGCAAGUCGAGCGGAUGAAGGCAGCUUGUUCCUGGAUUCAGCGUCGGACGGGUGAGUAAUGCCUAUGAAUCUGCCUGGUAUUGGUGGAUAACGUCCGCAAACGGGCGCUAAUACCGCAUACGUCCUGAUGGAGCUAGAUGGUGGUCUUCGGACCGCACGCUAUCAGGUGAGCCUCGGCCGGAUUAGAUAGUUUGUUGGGUAAAGGCCUACCAAGGCGACGAUCCGUAGCUGGUCUGAGAGGAUGAUCGGUCACCCUGGAGCUGGAACACGGUCCUGACUCCUAAGGGAGGCACCAGUGUGCAAUAUUGGACAAUAGGCGAGAACCUGAUCCAACCAUGGCGCGUGUGAGAAGAAGGUCUUCGGAUCGUGAAGCACGUCAUGUUGGGAGGAAGGGCAGUAAGUUAAUACCUUGCUGUUUUGACGUUAACAAGAAAAUAAGCACCGGCUAACUACGUG
rnacentral:rRNA from 1 species